GGCAGACGGGUGAGUAACAUGUAGGUAUCUGCCCUUUGGCCUGGAAUAACACGAGGAAACUUGUGCUAAUACCGGAUAAGUCUUUACGGAGAAAGCUUUAUGCACCAUUGGAUGAGCCUGCACUUGAUUAGUUUGUUGGUGGGGUAAUGGCCUACCAAGACUGUGAUCAAUAGCUGAUUUGAGAGGAUGAACAGCCACAUUGGAACUGAGACACGGUCCAAACUCCUACGGGAGGCAGCAGUGGGGAAUUUUCCGCAAUGGACGAAAGUCUGACGGAGCGACGCUGCGUGAAGGAUGACGGCCUGCGGGUUGUAAACUUCUUUUCUCGAAGAAGAAGCUCUGACGGUAUUCGAGGAAUAAGCAUCGGCUAACUCCGUGCCAGCAGCCGCGGUAAGACGGAGGAUGCAAGUGUUAUUCGGAAUGAUUGGGCGUAAAGCGUCUGUAGGCUGUAUAGAAAGUCUUUUGUUAAAUACCUCGGCUCAACCGAGAUCCAGCAAAGGAAACUUCUAUACUUGAGGUAAGUAGAGGUACAGGGAAUUCCCGGUGGAGCGGUGAAAUGCGUAGAUAUCGGGGGGAACACCAAUAUGGCGAAGGCACUGUACUGGGCUUUACCUGACGCUCAGAGACGAAAGCUAAAGGAGUGAUUAGGAUUAGAUACCCUAGUAAUUUUAGCCGUAAACGAUGAAAACUCACUGCCGAGCGAAAUACAACGAGCGGUGGUCAAGCUAACGCGUGAAGUUUUCCGCCUGGGGAUUACGCUUGCAAAAGUGAAACUCAAAGGAAUUGACGGGGACCCGCACAAGCGGUGGAGUAUGUGGUUUAAUUCGAUGCAACACGAAGAACCUUACCAGGGUUUGAAAUCAUUUCAAAACUCCUUGAAAGAGGAGCCUCCUUCGGGAUGGAAUGACAGGUGGUGCAUGGCUGUCGUCAGCUCGUGUUGUGAAAUGUCGAGUUAAGUCUCGUAACGAGCGCAACCCAUGUCUCUUGUUGCUCAUUGAGUGCUUAAGAGAGACUGCCGACCAACAUCGGAGGAAGGUGGUGGAUGAUGUCAAGUCAGCCAUGCCCCUUACAUCCUGGGCUACACACGUACUACAAUG
rnacentral:rRNA from 1 species